rnacentral:rRNA from 1 species
UACGGGGGGAGCAAGCGUUGUUCGGAUUUACUGGGCGUAAAGGGCGCGUAGGCGGCCAGCACAAGUCAGUUGUGAAAUCUCCGAGCUUAACUCGGAAAGGUCAACUGAUACUGUGCGGCUAGAGUGCGGAAGGGGCAACUGGAAUUCUUGGUGUAGCGGUGAAAUGCGUAGAUAUCAGAGGAACACCUGCGGCGAAGGCGGGUUGCUGGGCCGACACUGACGUGAGGCGCGAAAGCUAGGGGAGCGAACGGG